rnacentral:rRNA from 1 species
GAUGAACGCUAGCGGGAGGCUUAACACAUGCAAGUCGAGGGGGCAGCAUAGGGUAGCAAUACUCUGAUGGGCGACCGGCAAACGGGUGAGUAACGCGUAUGCAACCUACCCUGUACAGGGGAUAACCCGGAGAAAUUCGGACUAAUAUCCCGUAAUAAUAUCCGGAGGCAUCUUUGGAUAUUUAAAGUUCCGACGGUACGGGAUGGGCAUGCGUAACAUUAACUGGUUGGUAAGGUAACGGCUUACCAAGGCUAUGAUGUUUAGGGGUCCUGAGAGGGUGGUCCCCCACACUGGUACUGAGACACGGACCAGACUCCUACGGGAGGCAGCAGUGAGGAAUAUUGGUCAAUGGGCGCAAGCCUGAACCAGCCAUCCCGCGUGCAGGAAGACGGCCCUAUGGGUUGUAAACUGCUUUUCCAGGGAGAGAAACUUACGCACGUGUUGCGUGACUGACGGUACCCUGGGAAUAAGCAUCGGCUAACUCCGUG